AGGGGAGGUUUCAAACAGCAGGAACUGCUAACUCUUGCAUCUGAGUCUAAAACCUCAGCCCCCUU
rnacentral:tRNA from 1 species